GAUGAAGAACGUAGCGAAAUGCGAUAAGUAAUGUGAAUUGCAGAAUUCAGUGAAUCAUCGAAUGUUUGAACGCACAUUGCGACCGCCAGUAUUCUGGCGGGCAUGCCUGUUCGAGCGUCAUUUCAACCAUCAAGCCCCAGGCUUGUGUUGGGGACCUGCGGCUGCCGCAGGCCCUGAAAACCAGUGGCGGGCUCGCUGUCACACCGGGCGUAGUAGAUUUUAUCUCGCUCAGGGCGUGCUGCGGGUUCCGGCCGUUAAAAAGCCUUUUUUACCCAAGGUUGACCUCGGAUCAGGUAGGAAGACCCGCUGAACUUAAGCAUAUCAAUAAGCGGAGGA
rnacentral:misc_RNA from 1 species